AUCGAAGUGGCUAAAUCCAAGCACCCAGAUGGACUCCAACAAGCUCCAGCAACAACACACACACACAUAUACACACACAUAUACACACGGAAAGAGAGAAUAGAGGUCACGUCAGGAUACACGCACAGUAAAUCCAUUGUGACUGGCUGUCUCUUUUCAAAGAUUUUUCAUUGCUCUCAGACCUUAUCAACCUCGAGCACACAGCAGAGAAAUACUUGUGAAACAAUUAGUCUCAUAUUUAAAAGAGAGACCAGGCUUUAAAAGCAGCAUGAGUGGCUGUUUUGAAGCAUACAGGGAAAGAAAUUAAUCAAUGUGCAGAGAUUGAAUUUGAGAAAUCGGCUGCUUUCUUUCAUCACGUAUAAGAGUUGCAGUCAUUGUUGGACUCCCAUCCAAAAUCUACCCAAAUGCAUUUGGUCAAAUUCAUUAUGUAAGUAGAUCGCUCUCUUUGUUAAUGCCUUGAUGCAAAAUUUAAUUAUCUGGUACAAUUGAAGAGUCUGUAUCAGGAUAAAAAUGUUCAUGCAAAAGCUUGUGGUUUCAGAACAUGUUUUCAAGUUUUUUGCAACAAAAACUCAAAGACUUCUUUGUUGGGUAACAGGUGGUGGUGGGCAGAGAGGAGGGAGGUGAGUCUCAGGAGGCAGAACAGGACAUCAAAAGCUGUGUACUGUAAUAUAAAGACAGAUCAAACAAAGUUUUAAUUUUCAUGUAUCAUCUUUAUGAGGAUAAUUUAAGGAUUAACUUUAAAUUUAAACCAAGUGAAGCCUCCAGGACUGCCUCAGGGCCAUAAAGUGCGGGACUUCUGAGAGUUGCUGUUGGAGGAGAGUGGGUGAGUUGUGUUUGGUCUCUUUGCUAAAGAAACCAUAAGAAAUAUGUUUGUUGACUAGUACUAUGGCUGGGACCCUAUAUGUACUGUUGAUGAAGUUAGGUGCUGUUCUGAGCAUUAUUUGUGGCUAUAGAGUGGCUUUUUGGUUGAGGUUUGCACUUGGAGACGUAGACAGCUGUGUAUUGCUCUUGUGUAGUCGUUACUCAAGUUGCUAUUACUAGAGACGCAAGCAGUCAGCAACAUUCAUCUCUCAAAGGGGGUGUCUAACUCAGUGUUACUGUGUGUUUGACAAAAACUUAAUUUUAUGUUGGAUUACCCCUUUAAGCACUGGUAAAACUGAAGUUUUUGUUAUUGCUCAAAAUAGAGACAUUCCAGUAAUAACGAAAAAAUAGGCUUUUCUCCUCUACAGUUCGCUCCAAAGUGUGUAACUAAGGAGUAAUUUUCUAACCACAGUUUGUUUGACAGUCAUUUAAAGCAGCACUCUGGGUCAUGUCUCUACAGUGUAAAAAAUGACUGAGAAAAUGACGCGCAUGCAUCCUGUGGGUUUUAUGCUUGAGAUGCGCAAAAAGGCGUUUAAAUUUGCUUCUCCCUUUUCUUGGCCCCGAAGUAUUAACUGUUAGACAGAAAUUAUCUCAAGGCAUCCAAACAUGCCUUCAAGGCAAGCUGUAAAUUUAAUACUCAUUUAUCUGUUGCUAUUGCUGCGGGCUACAGAGGUGGCAACUGAGGAGAGUCUUCUGUCCUCAAUGUGUACCUAUGCAAGACAGUGAGCAUACUUGAACAGGUUGCUCUUUACGCAGAUGACACAUGUAUGUCAACACCUGAGCAGACGGAGGUGAUUAUGAAUACACAGAGUCAAAUUAUCGUAUCAAUCUUUACCUGUAGGAUUGAUGGCAAGACAAAUGCAGACAAGCUGACAGAUGAACAGGUACAUGCAAAUAUGAAGAAAGGUUAUUUAUAUUUGCUUUACCUUAAAAAAGUACAAACCUAUCAGACACGUUCCAUCAAUGUAAAUCACACACUAACCCAACACUCCACUUGCAUUUACAUAUGUUUUAUUGAAAACAGGGAUGAAUCAUAGGGAAUAUACAUAUUGAUUUAGAUUUAUUUCAUGAGAACAAUGAUUUUUUUUUCCUGUCUAUCUCUCUUUCACUUUUCCCUCCAUCUAUCUCAGUGUUUUUCUGUCAGGAAAAACAAAAAAAGACCACAGCAGCCAUAGCGACAGAGAGCAAAAAAGAAGACCUGGCCCGGGCCUGUCACCUUUGGAGCAUCCUGAUUGGUUGAGGCCCGCUGUGUGAGCUUUGUUGCCGUGUGGACGGCGAGGCAGGCAGUUCUCUGAGCGUUGCUGAGGACGCAGAGCUUUCUCAGCAGUCCUGUCAGGGUGGAUUUACGCCGCAGGCUCAAAGCUGAUUUUUUUUCAUCCCUGUGACACAUUUUAUGGCUGUAGAAGAAGAAACAGGAGAGUUACAUUUCAGGCUGAUGUCACUGACCUAUUGACUGUAUGCAUACAGAGGAAAUGUCAGUGAGCUUCUUUCAAAACAAGGGAGACACCAGACACCCUUUUUUUUUAAAUAAAAAAGCAGCAAAGUGAAGACUAUUGACUUGUUGUCAUGGAAAUGGUUAGAAAGAUAUGAAGGUUAUUUAUCCUGAAGGGGAAAUUCGAUAAAAGUAUGAAGCAUGGAAGUAUGCUGUUUAUGCAUUUUUAUUUUCAGGAAGUUUCUUUUGAGACAGAGAGACCUGAAACAAAUAAUGUUAUGCAUGUCUCAAAAACAGGGUUGAGAAAUAAGAGCUUUAGUUAUGUUUUAGCUGAUGUGAGCUAGCCUCCUAUCAAUCAUUUACAAGAAGUGAAACUGUCACAGCAGCUUACACAACAAUGAGGACAACUAAACAAACAAAAUACCAAGACUUGGGGCUCUUUUCUGCUUACUAAUGGCUGUUUUUAGAGAAACAUGUAAACCACUCAGUUACAGUUCCUUCAAUAAUAACAGCAAAGACAUCC